UCUGACAGAACGAUUUUCAGCAAAAACAUCCGGAAAAUGGCCCGCCAGCCGAUGUUUUCAACUAGACGAGUAUGAAAGGGAAUACAGUGUUAGAUAUCAUCGAGGAUAUGUGACCAAAGGGUUUCAGAAGUCUUGAGAGAUGUAUGCAGAUCAAACCCAUCAAGUAAGCCAACACCAUGUCUACAAGGUCAUACCUCUAGAACCUCUGACACCUCUACAGCUGAGGACAAAUCUUAAAGUGGACAGAGGGAUAGUAUGAAUGCUUCAGUGAAAUUAAGGAGCUCAGGUUCUAACAAGUGUAGUAGAGCAGUGCAACACAGAUGUACUCCGAUGUGCAAUUUUACAAGUUUUUCCAGACAGUGAUUACAGCGAGGCUUGAAGACUACUGUACACAAUUUCUUAACAAAUCCAAAAACAAAGCCGCGUAACAUUCAACUAAGUGAUUCAAAGAAAACCAAACUACAAACAAGAAAGGGUCGAUUGAAUGGAGUGACAUUUUUACCCUGAAGCGUCCUAUUAAGAUUAAGAGAAUCUAGUCGUUUGUGCCACGGCACAAAAAUUAUCAGACACAUAAGUAACAUUCAAGUAGUAGUAUGCAUUUACAUGGAAGAUAUGACAUAAUUGUAUUUUCAUAUUGAAUUUAUCAUAUAAGUUGAAUAAAGAAAAAUAAAAUGUGAGGCUCUGUCGAGCAUUUUAAAAGUUUUAAUUAAUGCAAUUUGGAAAGUCACAAAUGUAAUAUUCUUUUAUCACAUGUUAGAUUUUCCUGUCAAAACAUUGAAAAUUAUUCUUUCUUUUACUAUUUUAACAAGCCAACUUAAUCAACACUUCCAAUACUUUAAACGACAUUGACGUCAAAUCUUUAUUACACUAGUGUAUAAUAAUUUUUUUGUAAUGACUUUAUUAGAAUCCUGUGAUGUCAAACAUAUGAUAAUGUUCUAUUAGCAUUAAUUGUAGACUUGUUAAACUUUUUUCUUAACAAACUCUAUGAAAUACUGGUUGAACCCUAAUAGUGCUGGAAACAAACGUUUCAGGCCAUGUUGACCAGUGUAGACCAGAUCUGCAGGCACCCUUGCCAGUUGAUUGAACCACACACUUAAUUGCCAACAUGGUUGAAAGGGUCUUAUUGUCCAAGCUGCAAAGAGUGCAUACCCAUAUAAACUAGCUGGCACAGUUGUGUGUCAGUUGAUAUCAGUCUGUGCUGGUUGCAAAUUCAAAUCCAAUACUUUCAUAGAAUUAUAUGUUUUUAUUUAAUGUUUAUAGCAUCAAUAAAUUGAUAAUCUGAAAAAAUAGUGCAAGUCAGGUUUUCAAGUAUAAUCCUAAUUAACUUUUAGAACAUUUUGCAUAAAGUAAGGUGAUAUCUCUAAGUUGUCAAAGAAAAGCUUUUGCAGCUCUUUAUAAUUAAACAUGGCAUGGCACUUGUAUCUAUAGCUUUGUCCACCAUACAAGUACUCAAAUUUUGUGACAUUUUUUAAUAUAUUUUUCCCCAUAUUUCAAUUACAGUAAUUUGUUACAUUUCUCUUUCCUCUAUCAUUCUUAGUUUUUGUAUUUAAU